AGCCGGGGUGGUAGCGGUACCUUGAACCAACAAUCCGCUAUAGUUGGGGUGAUAUCUCGCAGAGGGUCCAAACGGUGGAGCUGCCCUUGGUAAGUGGCGUUGACGUCUGGGUCUUACGCAAUGGGAAUCUGUGAACCGAGUCAGGGUAGGAAUACAGCAGCUCUAAGCAGACGCUCUCAUGUGCCGUAAGGUCGCCUGGAGGGAGUUAACUGCCAAGGUAACGUCUGUCGAAUGAAUUCG
rnacentral:SRP_RNA from 1 species